UGUGGUCAACUUGCCUAACGCUGAGCCGUGGAAGUGACGUAUAACAGCGGCGUCUUUCGCAGCACGACGUCCCGGAAGUGCUGCGGCAACGUUGCUCUUGGAGAUAGCUGGCGUUAGGGAUCCGCCUUCUCUCCCAGAGGCGGGGCAGGUUUCUGUUUGGUUGCCGCCCUGACGGCCAGAACUAAAACACCUUGCAAGGAAUGAGGUAUUCAAGUAUGUUUUGAGCACCGACGGGCUGUGAACUGGACUGUGCUGGAAGCUCCUCUCCCUCUUCUCUCCUUAAGCCCUUUAUAUUUGACAUCAGCUUCCCCCACAUUCUCCAAAGCUUCUCUCACAAAUAAAGUCAGGUGCUCAGGCUGAGAAGAUUCAAGGAAAGGGUUCCUCACUUAGUUAUACUGUUGUGUUCAAGGGGAAGGAAAAUAUUUUUCAGUUUUGUUCUGCAAUUCCCCAUGGUGGUUUUCAAUAAGACUUGAGACUUCCUUACUCUAAAGUCCAAGCAGCAGUGGAAACAUAUCAAGAUCCCUUUUUGCAAUAUAACUUUUCCAAAGAUUCAAUAUUUAUUUAAACCCAAAAAUCUUGUCACUCGAAGUAAAACGAUUUUCUCCAGGGCCUGAAGAUCCUUGUUCAACUAGUUCAUGUGAUGAAAAUGUCUGUUAAGUAGGUGAUAUGGUUUGAAUGUUUGUUCCCUCCAAAUCUCAUGCUGAAAUUUGAUUCCCAGUGUCAUAGAUGGGACCUGGUGGGAGGUGAUUGGAUCAUGGGGGCAGAAUUCUCAUGAAUGGCUUAGCACCAUCCCCUUGGUGAUAAGUGAGUUUUCACUCAGUUCACUGGAGAUGUGGUUGUUUUAAGAGUCUGUGACUUCCAUUUCUCUCUUGCUCCCACUCUUGCCAUGUGACAUGCUGGCUCCCCAUCACCUUCCGCCGUGAUUGUAAGCUUCUAGAGACCUCACCAGAAACUGAUGCCAGCACCAUGCUUCCUGUAAAGCCUCCAGAACCAUAAGCCAGUUAAACCUCUUUCUUUAUAAA